rnacentral:rRNA from 1 species
CGCAGCUGAUGGAGCACACCGCGUGAGUGAAGAAGGGUUUCGGCUCGUAAAGCUCUGUUGUUAAAGAAGAACACGUAUGAGAGUAACUGUUCAUACGUUGACGGUAUUUAACCAGAAAGUCACGGCUAACUACGUGCCAGCAGCCGCGGUAAUACGUAGGUGGCAAGCGUUAUCCGGAUUUAUUGGGCGUAAAGAGAGUGCAGGCGGUUUUCUAAGUCUGAUGUGAAAGCCUUCGGCUUAACCGGAGAAGUGCAUCGGAAACUGGAUAACUUGAGUGCAGAAGAGGGUAGUGGAACUCCAUGUGUAGCGGUGGAAUGCGUAGAUAUAUGGAAGAACACCAGUGGCGAAGGCGGCUACCUGGUCUGCAACUGACGCUGAGACUCGAAAGCAUGGGUAGCGAACAGGAUUAGAUACC